rnacentral:rRNA from 1 species
AGCGAACGCUGGCGGCAGGCCUAACACAUGCAAGUCGAACGAACCUUUCGGGGCUAGUGGCGGUCGGUUGGGUACCACGUGGGAACGAGCCCUUAGGUUCGGUACAACUCAGGGGAACUUGUCCUAAUACCGAAUGUGCUCUUCGGGGAAAAGAUUAAUUGUCUUUAGAUCGGCCCGCGAAUGAUUAGCUAGUUGGUUGAGGUAAUGGCGCACCAAGGCGACGACCAGUAGCUGGGCUGAGAGGAUGAUCAGCCACAUUGGGACUGAGACACGGACCAAACUCCUACGGGAGGCAGCAGUGGGGAAUCUUGCGCAAUGGGCGAAAGCCUGACGCAGCCAUGCCGCGUGAAUGAUGAAGGUCUUAGGAUUGUAAAAUUCUUUCACCGGGGACGAUAAUGACGGUACCCGGAGAAGAAGCCCCGGCUAACUACGUG